GGAGAGAUGGCCGAGUGGUUCAAGGCAUAGCAUUGGAACAACUACAUAGGCUUUUGUUUACCGAGGGUUUGAAUCCUCCUCUUUCCA
rfam:Capsicum annuum cultivar Zunla-1 chromosome 11, whole genome shotgun sequence